GAUGAACGCUGGCGGCAUGCCUAACACAUGCAAGUCGAACGAAGCCUUCGGGCUUAGUGGCGCACGGGUGCGUAACACGUGGGAAUCUGCCCUUCGGUUCGGAAUAACAGUUAGAAAUGACUGCUAAUACCGGAUGAUGACGUAAGUCCAAAGAUUUAUCGCCGAAGGAUGAGCCCGCGUAGGAUUAGGUAGUUGGUAGGGUAAUGGCCUACCAAGCCGACGAUCCUUAGCUGGUCUGAGAGGAUGAUCAGCCACACUGGGACUGAGACACGGCCCAGACUCCUACGGGAGGUCAGCAGUGGGGAAUAUUGGACAAUGGGCGAAAGCCUGAUCCAGCAAUGCCGCGUGAGUGAUGAAGGCCUUAGGGUUGUAAAGCUCUUUUACCCGAGAUGAUAAUGACAGUAUCGGGAGAAUAAGCUCCGGCUAACUCCGUG
rnacentral:rRNA from 1 species